GCCCGCCUAGCUCAAUCGGAUAGAGCGUCAGACUCUUAUGAAGCCAAGAUAACGAUGUAGGCUAUCUGAAGGCUGCGAGUUCGACCCUCGCGGUGGGCU